GCCUAGUGGAAAACAUCUGGAGGAUGAAGACACAUGGCGAGAGACCCACCCGGAGAGGACAGACCACUUGAGAAAAAUGCAGAGAAGCUAUGUGGGCUGUGUUUGGAGAAGUUCCAUUAUUACUGCAAGGGUGACCAGCAAAUACUGUGUGUGAUGGGCCAGGAGGCCCGGGAGCACAGGCCUCAUACUGCUGUCCUCUUGAAGAAGGCUGCGCAGCCUAAUCGGACGAAAUUGCAGAGCCACAGCAGGACACUGCGUCAGUGUUUGAACCGGGGCAGCAGUUCUUGAGCCAGAGAGAGAGAGAGCGCAGGGCCUGCUGGAGCCGCUGGAAGGAUUGCGCAAGAGCAGGCAAAGGCAGGAGGGCCCGGUCAGCAAGGACUCUGAGCAAGUGCUCCGACUUGGAGCCCUGAUUUCUGAGUCGGAAGAAAAGCCUCAGCAGCCGGCAGUAGAGCUUCUGCAGGUGCCCCCUGGAAGAAGUUCUGGCCUAUCAGUACUGCAAUCAAAAAGUGGGCAGAAGAGUUUGCGGAUAAACUUCGUUCUUUAGAGAAAGGAAUCAGAGGAUUCAAUGAAGACUGCAGAGGGAUCUGGAGUAUAAGACCAG